GAUGAACGCUAGCUACAGGCUUAACACAUGCAAGUCGAGGGGAAACGGCAUUGAGUGCUUGCACUCUUUGGACGUCGACCGGCGCACGGGUGAGUAACGCGUAUCCAACCUUCCCAUUACUUUGGGAUAACCUGCCGAAAGUCAGACUAAUACCGCAUAGUCUUCGAUGACGGCAUCAGAUUUGAAGUAAAGAUUUAUCGGUAAUGGAGGGGGAUGCGUCUGAUUAGCUUGUGGGCGGGGUAACGGCCAACCAAGGCUACGAUCAGUAGGGGUUCUGAGAGGAAGGUACACCAGAAUGGAACUGAGACACGGUCCAAAAUGCUACGGGAGGCAGCAGUGAGGAAUAUUAGUCAAUGGACGGAAGUCUGAACCAGCCAAGUAGCGUGAAGGAUGACGGCCAUAUGGGUUGUAAACUGCUUUUGUAUGGGGAUAAAGUUAGGGACGUGUCCCUAUUUGCAGGUACCAUACGAAUAAGGACCGGCUAAUUCCGUG
rnacentral:rRNA from 1 species